rnacentral:rRNA from 1 species
GACGAACGCUGGCGGCGUGCUUAACACAUGCAAGUCGAACGGAAAGGCCCUGCUUUUGUGGGGUGCUCGAGUGGCGAACGGGUGAGUAACACGUGAGUAACCUGCCCUUGACUUUGGGAUAACUUCAGGAAACUGGGGCUAAUACCGGAUAGGAGCUCCUGCUGCAUGGUGGGGGUUGGAAAGUGUCGGCGGUUGGGGAUGGACUCGCGGCUUAUCAGCUUGUUGGUGGGGUAGUGGCUUACCAAGGCUUUGACGGGUAGCCGGCCUGAGAGGGUGACCGGCCACCGUGGGACUGAGGUGCGGCCCCGCCUCCUACGGGAGGCAGCAGUGGGGAAUAUUGCACAAUGGGCGGAAGCCUGAUGCAGCAACGCCGCGUGCUGGAUGACGGCCUUCGGGUUGUAAACCGCUUUCGCCUGUGACGAAGCGUGAGUGACGGUAAUGGGUAAAGAAGCACCGGCUAACUACGUG